GAUGAACGCUGGCGGCGUGCCUAAUACAUGCAAGUCGAGCGAACAGAUGAGGAGCUUGCUCCUCUGACGUUAGCGGCGGACGGGUGAGUAACACGUGGAUAACCUACCUAUAAGACUGGGAUAACUUCGGGAAACCGGAGCUAAUACCGGAUAAUAUAUUGAACCGCAUGGUUCAAUAGUGAAAGACGGUUUUGCUGUCACUUAUAGAUGGAUCCGCGCCGCAUUAGCUAGUUGGUAAGGUAACGGCUUACCAAGGCAACGAUGCGUAGCCGACCUGAGAGGGUGAUCGGCCCCACUGGAACUGAGCCACGGUCCAGACUCCUACGGGAGGCAGCAGUAGGGAAUCUUCCGCAAUGGGCGAAAGCCUAACGGGGCAACGCCGCGUGAGUGAUGAAGGUCUUCGGAUCGUAAAUCUCUGUUAUUAGGGAAGAACAAAUGUGUAAGUAACUAUGCACGUCUUGACGGUACCUAAUCAGAAAGCCACGGCUAACUACGUG
rnacentral:rRNA from 1 species